AAAGGUUUAAUUUAUUAAAAAUAUCGGCUUGUCAAGCUGAAAAAAAACUUAGUUUAAUCUUUA
rnacentral:tRNA from 1 species